CAUGUAGGCGGAUUGAUAAGUUUGAAGUGAAAUCCUAUAGCUUAACUAUAGAACUGCUUUGAAAACUGUUAAUCUAGAAUGUGGAAGAGGUAGAUGGAAUUUCUGGUGUAGGGUAAAAUCCGUAGAGAUCAGAAGGAAUACCGAUUGCGAAGGCGAUCUACUGGAACAUUAUUGACGCUGAGAUGCGAAAGCGUGGGAGCAAACA
rnacentral:rRNA from 1 species